CAACAAUCAAAAUAACAGACACAUUGUUCUUCUAUGAAGACGUCUAAUGGAAUCACAGGACAUCAGUAACAGAAAGUUAUGUCAUGUAACCAGUAAUCAGAAUACUCAUGUCUAUCUUCACUUCCGGGAACAGCCAAGGGGGUACACUACUAAAUGGGGGUGGACCUGGUAAACUCUAAGGCCUCCAUUCC